rnacentral:rRNA from 1 species
GACGAACGCUGGCGGCGUGCCUAACACAUGCAAGUCGAGCGGAGACAGUGAGUAGCUUGCUAUGAGCUGUUUUAGCGGCGGACGGGUGAGUAACGCGUGAGCAACCUUUCCCACGCAGGGGAAUAACACACCGAAAGGUGUACUAAUACCGCAUAAGACCACGGUUUCACAUGGAACUGAGGUAAAAGAUUUAUCGGUUUGGGGUGGGCUCGCGUCCGAUUAGGUAGUUGGUGAGGUAACGGCCCACCAAGCCGACGAUCGGUAGCCGACCUGAGAGGGUGAUCGGCCACAUUGGGACUGAGACACGGCCCAAACUCCUACGGGAGGCAGCAGUGGGGAAUAUUGGGCAAUGGAGGAAACUCUGACCCAGCAACGCCGCGUGGAGGAAGAAGGUUUUCGGAUCGUAAA